ACCCCCAUCCCUCACGCCUACGCCCCGCUCUUCGUCCUUGCGAAAAAGGAAGGGAAAGAAACCUGCCUCCUCUAAUCCCGCAGAUCCGAAACCCUCGCACCCCUCACUUGCGAAAAGAAACUGGGAGCGGCCCCCAUCAUCGACCUCACCGGCAUCUGCGAGCGCGCCGCCACCGCGCGCGACUGCCCUGUGCACCACUUGCCCACGCACGCCCCGAGGCCACCUUCCCGGCAGCAUAGCUGGCGUGGCAUCCCAUCGGCGGAGGUCACGCGGCGUCCUGGCGGCGCAGCAUCUCGGCGGCCCCCUGCGCUAAUGUCGAGCCUCGCCGCCAUCUCUACGGCCCCAUGCUGGCGCGCCCCCAUCUCCGUCGCCCUGGUUCUAGCCGGCGUUGCGGUGGUCAUAUGACCAAUUAGUGCAGCAAUGUGCAAGUGGCAUGUACAGGGGCCAUGCCAUCUGUGAAAACGUCUAUGAUGGGGAAGCCGUCGCCUGCCAUGAAGGGCGAGGAGUGCCGGCGACACCAUCAGGUACCGAAUCAAGCAGCAGGCACACCUCAUCGUCGUGAAUCCCCUUCCUGAUGCCCCCUUGAAUCCAAGGUCAAUAAACAAAUCGAGAGCACCUGAAUCUGGUGGUGUUGUAGAGGUACUGAUUUGAACACUAGCAUAAACAAUCUUCGAUCUGCGUGAUGAGAAAUUCCCGGUUUUCUUACCCCCUAGAUUUCUGCAAGGGCUCGUUAAAAAAAAAUACUGUAGGCUGUUUUCCUUUGGCACACGCCAGCACUACGUAGAAGCCAUCAGAUGGAUUGCUCUUGAUAAAAAGUUAUCUGAAAUAAUCUAGAAUUUUUACCAAAUUGUUUUAGUACUUGCAAAUCUUUGCCAAAUUGAAAUGCCAUGUGAAUUGAAGAAUGAGUUGCAGGCAGACUAUUUUUGUGUUAUGCAAAAAGGAGUAACCUGUUGAAUAAUAGCUUUACAAUAACUAAUAAUUAUUUUUAAUUUGUUCUCGAAUGGCUUCAAUGUCUCAAAUGCUGGGCGUGUUGGUUUUUUAAUUCCUUUUCAGUAUGUUGCAGAAUUUCUCACCUCUACUUGGAAUUGGAACCAACCAGUUACUGCACUUUAAUGAGUAUUGGGUAAAAUUAGAGCGAAGUCUGGGCAAUGACCUUGCUUCAACUCGUGGAGUUUGACAUGACUCUAUCGAGAAAAGGUUUAGCUUUUGCUCUGUGAAAAUAAAUAUAACUUCGUAUUCCCUAGCUACCCGCUGCCUUAAAAUAUAUUAUUAUUCUUCCGGUGGGUUUAAUUUGUUUUAGAAGUUUGAUUGACGUACAUUUCAGUGGAGACGAAAUAGGGCAUAAAUAUAAGGAAAGAUCACUUUAUAAGUGCUGUUAUAACAAAUGAUUUGUUGGGUCUAGAUAAGAGGCAAGCUUUUCUCAAUCAAGCAUUGGAACCCCUCUUCCUGCUAUCGUAACCUGAAAACUUGCUAAUGGUACUCUUGUUGGUGCUUACGAACCAGUCUUAAACAGUAGUUGAGAUUUAUGUGAAUACUAUCAAUGUUUAUCUUUUGACAUGACAAAUCUCAUGAAUAUUGACAAGCAUGCCUACCUCACCUUGAAUACACAGCUUGUGCCACGCUUGAAGCAGCCUCUUGCUCUCACCUCGAUUCACCUCCCAUAGUUCCAUGAUUUUAGCAUCAUGCAGUCUCAGGAAAGUUAGAGAGCAGGCAUAUUUUUUUGUGCCUACCUCACCUCGAUUGAUGUUUGACCUAUCCCCUUCAAGAAAAAUGAUGUCCGGCCAUCUAUGUUAAUACUUGAAUUUUUGAGACAUUGCAAAUUUUCCAAGUGGUGAGAGCAAGGGUGCUGAUUUUGAACUCAAAUUCUUCUGUCUGCUCUUUGUAUUCAGAUUGAGGAUGUAAAUUUAUUUUUUGAUUGAGGUCAAAUACAUGCCUGAUGAAAGCGAAUAAUGCUUAUACUGUCCCAAGUUUUGGAACAAAUAGUUUAGUGGAAAAUUAUUUGAGUAGUUUACCUUCAAUCUAUGCAGUUUGGUAACAAAUUACUAUAUUUGACUCAUUGAGAAGGAGCAAAGAGGAAGAAAACAUAGGUGGUGUGCUCUAAUUGGUUGAGAGAAAAAGAGAGGACGACUGUAUGAAGCUCUGGUUCGUCCAAGCUGCAUGUCUCAUGGAUGUUCAGUGAAAUGGCAUGCCCGUGAUAUUUGUGCCACAUGGAUGGAACAUGAAAGUGUUUACUACAAUAGACACAAUCUUAGAUGAGUUCGUCAAUCUUCAGUUCAGGUUAUUUCUUCCAUGAGAAUGGACCAUUCAUUUUUUUAUGAUGAUCACCAAAUUGUAUCUUUCAUUUUCAGAAGUUAUUGUUUUCAUAUUAGUUACAUUCCAUGUUGUCUUUAAUAUUGUGGUUUGUGCAAAUUAGCUAUCAAGCCGGACCAUAUCCAUCGCAGUUAUGUUUCCAAAUGAUGUUAAGAAGGCAAUGAUCUAUGAUGUCGGCCAGCUUGCUCCUCCAUUGUGUGCAGAAAAAGCUUUGCUCAAAUGGGGCUCAAGUGAGAGACAAUAUUUUUACUCAUAUUUGAUUUACAAGGCAAGAAGUGGUUGUAGUUUGUUGCCACUGGAUCGCUCAGAGUAUAUUCCAUUAGAAGUAAAGGUUAUAGUAAUAAAACAAAACUAUAAAUGGGAGUUGUUCGUCUGUCUCGUGCCUCAUUUUGAUCUCAGAUAUAUACUUGUCUGUUAGUAGCAGUUAUAUGAUUUUACUUUAGCUCUGGUGCAAGAAGGAUUUAAGUAUCACCAGUCAACAGAGUUGUAUAUUAUAUUAAUGUAUUGGAUCCCUAAAGAGUCCUAUUUGUCGGUUCCAAGUGUUUAUCACCUUGAAGUUGGACACUUUGUGAUCAAUGGUCAUAUAUAUAUCACUCAUUUGUCUGUGAAUUUUCA